UACGUAGGGCGCAAGCGUUAUCCGGAAUUAUUGGGCGUAAAGAGCUCGUAGGCGGUUUGUCGCGUCUGCCGUGAAAGUCCGGGGCUCAACUCCGGAUCUGCGGUGGGUACGGGCAGACUAGAGUGAUGUAGGGGAGACUGGAAUUCCUGGUGUAGCGGUGAAAUGCGCAGAUAUCAGGAGGAACACCGAUGGCGAAGGCGGGUCUCUAGGCCGAUACUGACGCUGAGGAGCGAAAGCGUGGGGAGCGAACAGG
rnacentral:rRNA from 1 species